rnacentral:rRNA from 1 species
UACGGAGGGGGCUAGCGUUGUUCGGAAUUACUGGGCGUAAAGCGCACGUAGGCGGCUUUGUAAGUUAGAGGGGAAAGCCCGGGGCUCAACUCCGGAAUUGCCUUUAAGACUGCAUCGCUAGAAUUGUGGAGAGGUGAGUGGAAUUCCGAGUGUAGAGGUGAAAUUCGUAGAUAUUCGGAAGAACACCAGUGGCGAAGGCGACUCACUGGACACAUAUUGACGCUGAGGUGCGAAAGCGUGGGGAGCAAACAGG